rfam:Lutzomyia longipalpis Contig10134, whole genome shotgun sequence.
CGAAACGUCAAAAUGGUUGGGUCUAUGUUGCAAUUACAAUGUUCAUAUCACAGCCAUUUUGACGAGUUUGA